rnacentral:rRNA from 1 species
AGAGUUUGAUCCUGGCUCAGGAUGAACGCUGGCGGCGUGCCUAAUACAUGCAAGUCGAGCGAACGGACGAGAAGCUUGCUUCUCUGAUGUUAGCGGCGGACGGGUGAGUAACACGUGGAUAACCUACCUAUAAGACUGGGAUAACUUCGGGAAACCGGAGCUAAUACCGGAUAAUAUUUUGAACCGCAUGGUUCAAAAGUGAAAGACGGUCUUGCUGUCACUUAUAGAUGGAUCCGCGCUGCAUUAGCUAGUUGGUAAGGUAACGGCUUACCAAGGCAACGAUGCAUAGCCGACCUGAGAGGGUGAUCGGCCACACUGGAACUGAGACACGGUCCAGACUCCUACGGGAGGCAGCAGUAGGGAAUCUUCCGCAAUGGGCGAAAGCCUGACGGAGCAACGCCGCGUGAGUGAUGAAGGUCUUCGGAUCGUAAAACUCUGUUAUUAGGGAAGAACAUAUGUGUAAGUAACUGUGCACAUCUUGACGGUACCUAAUCAGAAAGCCACGGCUAACUACGUGCCAGCAGCCGCGGUAAUACGUAGGUGGCAAGCGUUAUCCGGAAUUAUUGGGCGUAAAGCGCGCGUAGGCGGUUUUUUAAGUCUGAUGUGAAAGCCCACGGCUCAACCGUGGAGGGUCAUUGGAAACUGGAAAACUUGAGUGCAGAAGAGGAAAGUGGAAUUCCAUGUGUAGCGGUGAAAUGCGCAGAGAUAUGGAGGAACACCAGUGGCGAAGGCGACUUUCUGGUCUGUAACUGACGCUGAUGUGCGAAAGCGUGGGGAUCAAACAGGAUUAGAUACCCUGGUAGUCCACGCCGUAAACGAUGAGUGCUAAGUGUUAGGGGGUUUCCGCCCCUUAGUGCUGCAGCUAACGCAUUAAGCACUCCGCCUGGGGAGUACGACCGCAAGGUUGAAACUCAAAGGAAUUGACGGGGACCCGCACAAGCGGUGGAGCAUGUGGUUUAAUUCGAAGCAACGCGAAGAACCUUACCAAAUCUUGACAUCCUUUGACAACUCUAGAGAUAGAGCCUUCCCCUUCGGGGGACAAAGGGACAGGGGGUGCAUGGUUGUCGUCAGCUCGUGUCGUGAGAUGUUGGGUUAAGUCCCGCAACGAGCGCAACCCUUAAGCUUAGUUGCCAUCAUUAAGUUGGGCACUCUAAGUUGACUGCCGGUGACAAACCGGAGGAAGGUGGGGAUGACGUCAAAUCAUCAUGCCCCUUAUGAUUUGGGCUACACACGUGCUACAAUGGACAAUACAAAGGGCAGCGAAACCGCGAGGUCAAGCAAAUCCCAUAAAGUUGUUCUCAGUUCGGAUUGUAGUCUGCAACUCGACUACAUGAAGCUGGAAUCGCUAGUAAUCGUAGAUCAGCAUGCUACGGUGAAUACGUUCCCGGGUCUUGUACACACCGCCCGUCACACCACGAGAGUUUGUAACACCCGAAGCCGGUGGAGUAACCUUUUAGGAGCUAGCCGUCGAAGGUGGGACAAAUGAUUGGGGUGAAGUCGUAACAAGGUAGCCGUAUCGGAAGGGGCGGCUG